AGGUAAAACCGCAAAAUGCUCAUUAAACUAGUUAUAGUUAACUAGAAUGAUAAAAAUUAAUUGGAUAACUGUGGUAAUUCUAGAGCUAAUACAUGCAAUCUAGUUUUGCUCAGUAAUGAGAAAAACGCUUUUAUUAGAUCAAAACCAAUCGAAUAGUUUACUAUUCGUUGAUUUGAUGACUCUGAAUAACACCACAGAUCGCACAGUCUUUGUACUGGCGAUAUAUCUUUCAAAUGCCUGACUUAUCAACUGUCGAUGGUAGAUUAUAUGUCUACCAUGGUUAUAACGGGUAACGGGGAAUCAGGGUUCGAUUCCGGAGAGGGAGCCUGAGAAACAGCUACCACAUCCAAGGAAGGCAGCAGGCACGCAAAUUACCCACUCCCGGCACGGGGAGGUAGUGACAAAAAAUAACGAUACGGGACUCAUCCGAGGCCCCGUAAUCGGAAUGAGUACACUUUAAAUCCUUUCAUGAGGAUCCAUUGGAGGGCAAGCCUGGUGCCAGCAGCCGCGGUAAUUCCAGCUCCAAUAGCGUAUAUUAAAGUUGUUGCGGUUAAAAAGCUCGUAGUUGGUUCUGUGUGCGUUUUACUUGAACUAAUAGUAAGCUCCUUUAAUUACCGAUUAGUUCCUACCGCGGUGCUCUUCAUUGAGUGUCGAGGUCGGCCGACAAGUUUACUUUGAACAAAUUAGAGUGCUUAAAGCAGGCAAAAGUCUGCCUUGAAUAGUAGUGCAUGGAAUAAUAGAAUAGGACCUUGGUUCUAUUUUGUUGGUUUUCUGAAUCCAAGGUAAUGAUCAAUAUGGACAGGCGGGGGCAUUCGUAUUGCGACGUUAGAGGUGAAAUUCUUGGAUCGUCGCAAGACGAACUAGAGCGAAAGCAUUUGCCAAGUAUGUCUUAAUUGAUCAAGAACGAAAGUUAGAGGUUCGAAGGCGAUCAGAUACCGCCCUAGUUCUAACCAUAAACGAUGCCAGCUAGCGAUCCGCCGAUGUUUUGUGGAGCUUGCGGUUUAAUUUGACUCAACACGGGAAACCUUAUCAGGCCCAGACAUUGGAAGGAUUGACAGAUUGAUAGCUCUUUCUUGAUUCAAUGGGUAGUGGUGCAUGGCCGUCCUUAGUUGGUGGAACGAUUUGUCUGGUUAAUUCCGAUAACGAACGAGACUCUAGCAUACUAACUAGACGAUUGGUAUUUUUGCUACCAACGUUUUUAUUCUUCUUAGAGGGACAGGCGGCUUUUAGCCGCACGAGAUUGAGCAAUAACAGGUCAGGGAUGCCCUGAGAUGUUCUGGGCCGCACGCGUGCUACACUGAAGGAAUCAGCGUGUGUCUCCCUAUCCGAAAGGACCGGGUAACCCGCUGAACCUCCUUCGUGCUAGGAAUUGGGGCUUGCAAUUAUUCCCCAUAAACGAGGAAUUCCCAGUAAACGUGAGUCAUAAGCUCGCGUUGAUUACGUCCCUGCCCUUUGUACACACCGCCCGUCGCUACUACCGAUUGAAUGAUUUAGUGAGGUCUUCAGACUGGUAAUAAA
rnacentral:rRNA from 1 species